UUUUUCUUCUUUUCCAGUGUUUCUCUUAAGAGUUUUGGUAUUUCUUAGUUGCUAUUUAAUGCCACUAAAUUAAAAUUUUAAAUUAUUAGCCUUAAUUUUACUGGUCCUUUCUGCACUGGAAGCAACUUCUGAUUCAACUGGAAAGCAUGGCCUCUUAGGGUUGUCAGUGUCACGGGCACUUACCUCGUGUUCAUGUUGUAUCUGGCUGAACCCCUGGCAUUGUGUAUUCCCUGGAAUUCUGCGUUCACAGGUAUGUCCAAUGUCACAAGCACUUAAAGACAGUCACAGUGGCUGAACUGCAAACUGCUGGGCUCUCCUGUGCCCAAUCAUCUCUGCUCAUGUGCAUUCCCAUUGUCCAGAUUUCACUUGCAAAGCACAAACUGAAAGAUCAAAUUACCAAGAAUUUCAAGACAGGGGCAGCAGAGCAUUAAACCUGAACCAACCCUGCUUGCUUCCAACCCCAGCACCUUGGCUUGUAGAACACACACCCCCCUGACUUCAGGAUCAAUAAGCCUCUUCCUCCAUUGUGUUGGCUUUUUGCUCUAUGACAGUGAAGCAGGAGUCAGAUGGGCUCCAGGAUAGACAGCUACAACUAGCCUCCUAUUUACACUUCCUGAGGCAGGAGAUAGUUGGACUCUAGGCUAGACACUUACAACCAGCCACCUAGCUAUACUACAAGACAGAAAUAACAACAGGCACAAGGCAAAUAACUGGUACUUGUCUUCUGUGAACUUGUCAAACCAUGGUGAUGGUAGGAUCAGAAGAGGCGCCGAGCCCUGCUUGGGCAGAACAACGUUGGGUCAGGGAGACCCCAACUACCCAUGUGCAGAGAGAUCCCUCUGGAUCAGAAAGGAAGGGGGUGUCAGCCCAUAAUAAGUCUGGAUCACCUUCCUGCCAUGCUCUGCUUUAGAAUCCAUCUUGGCCAAAAGAUGUGCACACAGAUCGGGGGAGCACACGUCUGUUUCUCCCUCAGGCCCUGGAAGCGUGUGCAGCACCGGUGGGCUGCUGGGCUAGAGCAGGUGCAGGGCAUCUUUCAGCUAAUGAAGUAUUUAAGUUCUGCCCUCUUGACCCUUCUCCUCGGGGCCCAGCAGCCCACAGGGUCCUCCCAUUAAGCAGUGGUAGUGGAGGGGGACGUGGUAGGUAUGUUUUGGGCACAGGUGCAGCCAUCAAAAUCCCCUUUCCUUACAGGUGUUGGCCUUUCCAGGUCAGUAAGUUCAGCUCAUUAUCCCUAAAACAGAGGCAAAGGCAGGAGGUGAGAGCUGUGCCUGCAUCCUGGCCCCUCUGACCCCAGCCACAGCAUACACAUUUCUUUUGGUAGGCUCUGGGAUGGGGGUGGCCACAAGCAUCAGUGAGCUGGCCUCAGGAAUGUGUCAGGUGUAGCAACCACAGCAGAGGGACAGGGUGUCUGGUUAACAUUCCAACUCUUCCAGGAAGCCUUCCUUGACUUCUCCAGAGCAGAUGGAAUACUCCUUCUUGGAAAGUCACACAGGCCAUCCACUGAGCCCCUAGUUGGGAACACAGUCUCCCUGGUCCCAAACCCCAGCUCUGUCAUUUACUAGAUGUGUGACUUCGGGCAAUUUACUUCUCUCUACUUCAUUCCUUAACUUAUAAUCUGAAUACAGGGAAAACGCCUAAGGCACAAAGCUGUUGUGCUAAGUACACAAGUCAAGAUACACAAAGUGCUUAGAACAAGCCCUGGACAAGAGGCUGCUGUUAUCAUCAUAGAACUUUUUUGUGCGGAAAAGUGUGCAUAACCUAAAAUUUACCAUUUUGGACAUUCUUAAGUGUACAGUUCAGUGGCAUCAACUACAUUCAUACCAUUGGGCACCCAUUGCUACUAUCCAUCUCCAGAACCUCUUCACCAACUCAGACUGAAACCCUGUUUCAUGAAACAAUAACUCUCCACUACCCCCUUUCCCCAGCCCCUGGGACUCUCUAUUCUACUUUCUGUCUCCAAUCAUAACUUUGGAUAUAAUAUUUUAUUUUCCUCACUGAACAAAUAUUGAUUGAACACUUACUUUGCACCUGGAAUUAAAGUAGAAUCUGAGGACACAGAGGUCAUCAGGAUCAGCAGAAUCCAUAUCUUCAUGGAGGUUUUACUCUAGUAGAUUGAGGCUGGCAAUGAGCAAAUGAAUACACAGGACAAUCUCAGUUGAGAUGCAGGCUUUUGUUGAAAAAAAAAUUAUCCAGAACUUGGAAAUAGGCAAACGAGAGUACAGUACAUCCUUCCAGAGUUAUAGUACAGAUUAGUGAUACUGCCCAAAGAUGAGUUAAUGCUCCCAGAGAAUGUACCUGUGUUUGACCUACCUGCUGACUGUUUGAUUAGAAGGCAGACACUGAGUGAUACAUGUUAACUUAUAGAUUUAUACCCAGUAGAAAAGAUUAUCACAAAGAUUAUGUUUUUAUUAUCCUGUAGGACAGUAUCCAUGUUCGUAUCUAACCUAGAAAUCUAACAGUAAAAGAGAGCCCAGAAAUGAACCCACAUUUACAUGUGCAAUUAAUCUAUGACAAAGGAGGCAAGAAUAUAUGAUGGAGGAAAAGACAGACUCUUCAGUAAGCAGUGCUGGGAAAACUGAAUAGCUAUCCUGCCAAAGAAUCAAACUGGACUAUUUUCUCACACCAUAUACAAAAAUUCAAAAUGGAUUAAAGACUUAAAAGGUAAGACCUGAAACCAUAACACUUCUAGAAGAAAACAUAGGCAGUACACUCCUUGCAUCAGUAUUAGCAAUUUUUUUUUUCAGAUCUGCCUCCCCAGGAAAGAGAAACAAAAGCAAAAAUAAGUGAAUGAGAUGACACCAAACUAAAUAGCUUUUGCACAGAAAAGGAAGCUAUCAACAAAACGAAAAGGCUGCCUAUGGAAUGAGAGAAGAAAAUUUCAAACAAUAUACUAGAUAAGGGGUUAAUAUCCAAAAUAAACAAUGAGCUCAUAGAACUCAACAUCCCAAAACUCAAAUAACUUGAUUAAAAAAUAGGCAGAGGGUCUGAAUAGACAUUUUUCCAAAGAAGACAUAUAGAUGGCCAACAGGUACACAAAAAGAUGCUCAACAACAGUACUCAUCAUGGAAAUGCAAAUCAAAACCACAAUGAGCUGUCACCUCACACCUGUCAAUGUCUAUUAUCAAAAAGACAGCAAACAAUGAGUGCUGGUGAGGAUAUGGGAAACAGGGAAUCCUCGUGUACUGUUGAUGAGAACGUAAAUUGGUGCAGCCAUUAUGGAAGACAAUAUGGAGAGUCCUCAAAAAGUUAAAAAUAAAACUACCAUAUGAUCCAGCAAUUCCAUUCCUGAGUCUUUAUCUGAAGAAAACAAAAAGGCUAAUUAGAAAAGAUACAUGCGCCCCUCUGUUCAUUGCAGCACUAUUUACAAUAGCCAAGAUACAGAAACAAUUGACAUGUCCAUCAAUAGAUGAAAG
rnacentral:lncRNA from 1 species